UAAUACGGAGGAUCCGAGCGUUAUCCGGAUUUAUUGGGUUUAAAGGGUGCGUAGGUGGAUUGAUAAGUCAGCGGUGAAAGUUUGCAGCUUAACUGUAAAAUUGCCGUUGAAACUGUCGGUCUUGAGUGCAAAUGAGGUAGGCGGAAUGUGUUGUGUAGCGGUGAAAUGCUUAGAUAUAACACAGAACUCCGAUUGCGAAGGCAGCUUACUGGGAUGCAACUGACACUGAUGCACGAAAGCGUGGGUAUCAAACAGG
rnacentral:rRNA from 1 species